rnacentral:rRNA from 1 species
AGGACGAACGCUGGCGGCGUGCUUAACACAUGCAAGUCGAGCGGAAAGGCCCUUUUGGGGGUACUCGAGCGGCGAACGGGUGAGUAACACGUGAGUAAUCUGCCCUUCACUUUGGGAUAGCCACCGGAAACGGUGAUUAAUACCGGAUAUGACCACAGUGCGCAUGUUCUUGUGGUGGAAACUUUUUGGGUGGGGGAUGUGCUCGCGGCCUAUCAGCUUGUUGGUGGGGUAAUGGCCUACCAAGGCUUCGACGGGUAGCCGGCCUGAGAGGGUGACCGGCCACACUGGGACUGAGACACGGCCCAGACUCCUACGGGAGGCAGCAGUGGGGAAUAUUGGACAAUGGGCGAAGCCUGAUCCAGCAACGCCGCGUGAGGGAUGACGCCUUCGGUUGUAAACCGUCUUUCAGCACCGACGAAGUUUUGUCUUUUUUGGCGAGUGACGGUAGUGCAGAAGAAGGACCGCAACUACGUGCCAGCAGCCGC